GAUGAACGCUGGCGGCGUGCUUAACACAUGCAAGUCGAACGGAAAGGCUCCUGCUUGCAGGGGUACUCGAGUGGCGAACGGGUGAGUAACACGUGGGUGAUCUGCCCUGCACUUCGGGAUAAGCCUGGGAAACUGGGUCUACUACCGGAUAGGACCACAUUUUGGAUGGUGUGGUGGAAAGUUUUUCGGUGUGGGAUGAGCUCGCGGCCUAUCAGCUUGUUGGUGGGGUAAUGGCCUACCAAGGCGUCGACGGGUAGCCGGCCUGAGAGGGUGUACGGCCACAUUGGGACUGAGAUACGGCCCAGACUCCUACGGGAGGCAGCAGUGGGGAAUAUUGCACAAUGGGCGCAAGCCUGAUGCAGCGACGCCGCGUGGGGGAUGACGGCCUUCGGGUUGUAAACUCCUUUCGCUAGGGACGAAGCGAAAGUGACGGUACCUGGAGAAGAAGCACCGGCUAACUACGUG
rnacentral:rRNA from 1 species